UACAGAGACUGCAAGCGUUAUCCGGAUUCAUUGGGUUUAAAGGGAGCGUAGGCGGUCUUGUAAGUCAGUGGUGAAAUCUCUUCGCUUAACGAAGAAACUGCCAUUGAUACUGCAGGACUUGAGUACAGAUGCUGUGGGCGGAAUAUGACAUGUAGUGGUGAAAUACAUAGAGAUGUCAUAGAACACCGAUUGCGAAGGCAGCUCACAAAACUGUAACUGACGCUGAGGCUCGAAAGUGCGGGGAUCAAACAGG
rnacentral:rRNA from 1 species